CAGAACGUUUCCAGCCCUUAACAUGCCCUGGCAGCUGCAGAGAUGCAGUGUCCACUUCGGUGGCAGGGACACAGGUGCUGCAUGGCUGUCGUCAGCUCGUGUCGUGAGAUGUUGGGUUAAGUCCCGCAACGAGCGCAACCCUCGCCCUUAGUUGCCAGCAUUCAGUUGGGCACUCUAAGGGGACUGCCGGUGAUAAGCCGAGAGGAAGGUGGGGAUGACGUCAAGUCCUCAUGGCCCUUACGGGCUGGGCUACACACGUGCUACAAUGGUGGUGACAGUGGGCAGCGAAGGAGCGAUCCCGAGCUAAUCUCCAAAAGCCAUCUCAGUUCGGAUUGCACUCUGCAACUCGAGUGCAUGAAGUUGGAAUCGCUAGUAAUCGCGGAUCAGCACGCCGCGGUGAAUACGUUCCCGGGCCUUGUACACACCGCCCGUCACACCAUGGGAGUUGGUUUUACCCGAAGGUAGUGCGCUAACCGCAAGGAGGCAGCUAAUCACGGUCCGCAUCGGUCUUAAUU
rnacentral:rRNA from 1 species